CCUACGGGAGGCAGCAGUAGGGAAUCUUCCACAAUGGGCGAAAGCCUGAUGGAGCAACGCCGCGUGGGUGAAGAAGGUCUUCGGAUCGUAAAACACUGUUGUUAGAGAAGAAAGUGCGUGAGAGUAACUGUUCACGUUUCGACGGUAUCUAACCAGAAAGCCACGGCUAACUACGUGCCAGCAGCCGCGGUAAUACGUAGGUGGCAAGCGUUAUCCGGAUUUACUGGGCGUAAAGGGCACGCAGGCGGUCGUUUAAGUCUGAUGUGAAAGCCUUGGGCUUAACCGGAGUAGUGCAUUGGAAACUGGGAAGCUAGAGUGCAGUAGAGGAGGGUGGAACUCCAUGUGUAGCGGUGAAAUGCGUAGAUAUGUGGAAGAACACCAGUGGCGAAGGCGGCUCUCUGGUCUGUGACUGACGCUGAGGUGCGAAAGCGUGGGUAGCAAACAGGAUUAGAUACCCGGGUAGUC
rnacentral:rRNA from 1 species